UGUGUAGGCGGUUUUUUAAGUUUGGUGUGAAAUCUCCCGGCUCAACUGGGAGGGUGCGCCGAAUACUGAAAGACUAGAGUACGGGAGAGGAAAGUGGAAUUCCUGGUGUAGCGGUGAAAUGCGUAGAUAUCAGGAGGAACACCGGUGGUGUAGACGGCUUUCUGGACCGUAACUGACGCUGAGACACGAAAGCGUGGGUAGCAAACA
rnacentral:rRNA from 1 species